GACGUAGGGCGCGAGCGUUGUCCGGAUUUAUUGGGCGUAAAGAGCUCGUAGGCGGCUUGUCGCGUCGAAUGUGAAAACUCGGGGCUCAACUCCGAGCUUGCAUUCGAUACGGGCAGGCUAGAGUUCGGUAGGGGAGACUGGAAUUCCUGGUGUAGCGGUGAAAUGCGCAGAUAUCAGGAGGAACACCGGUGGCGAAGGCGGGUCUCUGGGCCGAUACUGACGCUGAGGAGCGAAAGCGUGGGGAGCGAACAGGAUUAGAAACCCCCGUAGUCC
rnacentral:rRNA from 1 species